UGCCCAGCAACUCCUAUCCCUACCUCAUCGUGGUGCUGGCCGGUACGAGUAACCUUUGGGAAGA
rnacentral:ribozyme from 1 species